rnacentral:rRNA from 1 species
AGCAGUCGCCACGGGAAUACAGAGGGUGCGAGCGUUAAUCGGAUUUACUGGGCGUAAAGCGUGCGUAGGCGGCUUUUUAAGUCGGAUGUGAAAUCCCUGAGCUUAACUUAGGAAUUGCAUUCGAUACUGGGAAGCUAGAGUAUGGGAGAGGAUGGUAGAAUUCCAGGUGUAGCGGUGAAAUGCGUAGAGAUCUGGGGGAAUACCGGUGGCGAAGGCGGCCCCCUGGACAAAGACUGACGCUCAGGUGCGAAAGCGUGGGGAGCAAACAGGAUUAGAUACCCCCGUAGUCCCUGUCUCUUAUAC